rnacentral:rRNA from 1 species
UUAAGCAUAUCAAUAAGCGGAGGAAAAGAAACCAACAGGGAUUGCCUCAGUAACGGCGAGUGAAGCGGCAACAGCUCAAAUUUGAAAUCUGGCCCCAGGCCCGAGUUGUAAUUUGCAGAGGAUGCUUUUGGCGCGGUGCCUUCCGAGUUCCCUGGAACGGGACGCCAUAGAGGGUGAGAGCCCCGUCUGGUUGGAAACCAAGCCUUUGUAAAGCUCCUUCGACGAGUCGAGUAGUUUGGGAAUGCUGCUCAAAAUGGGAGGUAUAUGUCUUCUAAAGCUAAAUACCGGCCAGAGACCGAUAGCGCACAAGUAGAGUGAUCGAAAGAUGAAAAGCACUUUGAAAAGAGAGUUAAAUAGCACGUGAAAUUGUUAAAAGGGAAGCGUUCAUGACCAGACUUGGGCCGGUUAAUCAUCCAGCGUUCUUCGCUGGUGCACUUUGCCGGUCCAGGCCAGCAUCAGUUCGUUGCGGGGGAUAAAGGCGUCGGGAAUGUGGCUCUUCGGAGUGUUAUAGCCCUUCGUGUAAUACCCUGCGGUGGACUGAGGUUCGCGCUCUGCAAGGAUGCUGGCGUAAUGGUCAUCAACGACCCGUCUUGAAACACGGACCAAGGAGUCGUCUUCGUAUGCGAGUGUUCGGGUGUAAAACCCCUACGCGUAAUGAAAGUGAACGCAGGUGAGAGCUUCGGCGCAUCAUCGACCGAUCCUGAUGUUCUCGGAUGGAUUUGAGUAAGAGCAUACGGGGCCGGACCCGAAAGAAGGUGAACUAUGCCUGUAUAGGGUGAAGCCAGAGGAAACUCUGGUGGAGGCUCGCAGCGGUUCUGACGUGCAAAUCGAUCGUCAAAUAUGGGCAUGGGGCGAAAGACUAAUCGAACCUUCUAGUAGCUGGGUUUCCGCCGAAGU